GAUGAACGCUGGCGGCGUGCCUAAUACAUGCAAGUCGAGCGAACAGACGAGGAGCUUGCUCCUCUGACGUUAGCGGCGGACGGGUGAGUAACACGUGGAUAACCUACCUAUAAGACUGGGAUAACUUCGGGAAACCGGAGCUAAUACCGGAUAAUAUAUUGACCCGCAUUGAUCACUAGUGAAAGACGGUUUUGCUGUCACUUAUAGCUGGAUCCGCGCCGCAUUAGCUAGUUGGUAAGGUAACGGAUUACCAAGGCAACGAUGCGUAGCCGACCCGAGAGGGUGAUCGGCCACACUGUAACUGAGACUCGGUCCAGACUCUGACGGGGGGCAGCAGUAGGGAAUCUUCCGCAAUGGGGGAAAGCCUGACGGAGCAACGCCGCGUGAGGGAUGAUGGUCUUCGGAUCGUAAAACUCUGUUAUUAGGGGAGAACAAAUGUGUAAGUAACUAGGCACGUCUUGACGGUACCUGAUCAGAAAGCCACGGCUAACUACGUG
rnacentral:rRNA from 1 species